GAUCUAAGUCCUACUGUUCUUGCCUUGGUCGUGUCCAACAUCGUUCUGGGGAUAGUGACCCUUCUGCUUGUCUGGGCGCUUUACAAGACUCUGAACAGACAUCACAGAGGGAGGAGAGAUGGUCCAACAUCCCAGGGGAAUAAGAAUCAAGACAGUGACGUGUUGAACUAUGCUGCUGUGAGUUUCACCCCCAAGAAGAACUCCUCUUCCUCCUCUAGAACAGCAAGAGAGAAGACCAGCAUAGAGGAUGCAGUGUACUCUGAGGUCAGAUACCUUCAGCAGGAGUGAGAGAUACAGUAUCACCACUGUCACAAAGACUCCAAGAAGAACCAUUUUACUCCUUGUAAUAAAACUACUGUUAGUAACUGAAAUUAAUGUAAUUUUGACAAUGUCAAUGUGUUAGAUUUAUAUGAUGAUCCUGUAAUGCAUAAAAUAUUCCAACCUUUUACUUCUGCUUUUAACUAAUAUACAUUCUCUGA